rnacentral:rRNA from 1 species
GCCUACGACCAUAUCACCCUGAAUGUGCCUGAUCACUUAAACUAAGCAGGAUUGAGCCUGGUUAGUACUUGGAUGGGAGACUGCCUGAUAAAACCAGUUGUUUUAUUCU